UGCAGGGGCAGGGAUAAUAUGCUGUGGGGCUUUGGCAAUGGCCCCUGUUCCUGAUGGGCUCCAGCUGGGGCUGGGAUGGCCCCAGGUGUGGCCAGUGAGGUUGAGGAUGGGGCUGGCCCUGCUGUGUGAAGGGGCUCCAGCUGUAAAGGGGGCUGCCUGGGCAGGGGAACUGGCUGAGGAGGGAGUCCAAGGGGGUCUGGCUGGUAGGUGCCUGCAGCAAGGAAUGGCCAGUCCCUGUGGCAAGGAAGGAUCCCUCUGAGCUGUUCCUGGCCUCUGUUGGCUACACGCGUGAGCUGCCACGUAUCAAGGAAGCCUUGUGGAUGAGGAGCAUUGAGGCGUCCGCUGCGUGCUGCCGAGUGGGUGAGGGUCAGGCAGCCGGCACUGGGGAGGAGGAAGGGGCAGAGGCAGAGAGAGAAACGUCGGGGCAGUGAAGGUCUCCUGCCGGCACCAGGAGCUGUGGUGAGUCGCACAUCCUCUCCUCUACAUCCUGGCCCACCUCUGCCUCCCUUCCUCCGUCUCCCUCUCUGCCUGCCCACCUAUGUGUAUGGCUCCUCAAAACUUGUUAUUCUUCUGUCAACUCUGCCCAGUACCCUGUUGCCUUUUAAAUGUUUAAUAUGCCUCUCUCUAACCAGCUGCUUCUCCCUGUUUUUUAUUUUUUCUGCACCGCCUUGUACCCCAUUACUUUUAAAAUUUAAUUUCUAUGUUUUCCCCUCUCUGUCUCCCUGACCCUAUAUUUUAAUUCUUCCCUCUUUGUCCUGUACCCAGUUGCUUGAGACUGGCUGGGCAUCGGUCAGUUGGUGGUUUCUUAUAGGCACCCUUUACAUACCAUGAAGUCUGCUAUAAGGUCUCCUGCAAAGCUGCAUGCCAGUGAGCGGUCCGAGAAGAUGUUGAAGACCAAUGUGUCACCUUGAGGAACAUCCCAGUUAGCCUGUGUGGUUUUUGUGGAGGAUGGACUCAGCCCCUCGGCCCUCUGAAAGCUACGUUGAGGGACCAGGGCUGGG